AUGUUCCCUGUAUCUCUACAACUGCUGUUGCUGGCGGCUGCAUCCUGUGUAAAAUGUGUUGACUUCACUCAGCCAGGCUCAAUGGUCAUAAAACCAGGAGAGUCUUUGACAAUAACCUGUAAAGUAUCUGGGUAUUCUGUUACUGAUGACAACUAUGCCACAGCCUGGAUCAGACAACCAUCAGGGAAAAGUCUGGAGUGGAUUACUCACAUAUGGGGAGGUGGCACUAUCAGACAGAAAGAUUCUCUGAAAAACAAGUUCAGCAUUUCAAAGGAUGCCUCUAACAGCACAGUGUCUUUACGUGGGCAGAAUCUACAGCCUGAGGACACAGCUGUUUAUUACUGUGCUCGAGGACCACUGUGUUUCAAACCAGUGACAAUAAUGUACAAAAUCCCUUAA